rnacentral:rRNA from 1 species
UACGUAGGCAGCAAGCGUUGUUCGGAAUUACUGGGCGUAAAGAGUGUGUAGGCGGUGCUCUAAGUUCGGUGUGAAAUCUCCCGGCUCAACUGGGAGGGUGCGGCGGAAACUGGAGUGCUAGAGGGUGGGAGAGGAAAGCGGAAUUCCUGGUGUAGCGGUGAAAUGCGUAGAUAUCAGGAGGAACACCAAUUGCGAAGGCAGCUCGCUGGGACGUUACUGACGCUGAGACGCGAAAGCGUGGGGAGCAAACAGG